rnacentral:rRNA from 1 species
AUGGGGAAGGAGGCGCUGGACUACGUGCUGGUGCCUCUGGGGCUGGUGCUGAUGCUGGGAUACCACGCGUGGCUUCUCCUCCGUAUCCAGCGUCGCCCUGCGACCACCGUCAUCGGCGUCAACGCCAUCAACCGCCGCAUCUGGGUCCGCCACAUCAUGGAGGAGCCGUCCGGGAAGCACGCGGUGCUGGCGGUGCAGACGAUCCGGAACAACAUCAUGGCGUCGACGCUGCUGGCGUCCACGGCCAUCACACUCAGCUCGCUCAUCGCCGUGCUCAUGUCCGGCGGCGGCGGCGGAGGGCCAGGAGCUGGCGGCGGGGGCCUCCUCCCGGACGCGCCGCUGGUGGUGGGCGCCACGGGGGAGGCGGCUCUGUCGGCCAAGUUCUUCGCCAUCCUCGUCUGCUUCCUGGUGGCCUUCCUCCUCAACGUGCAGUCGAUCCGGUACUACAGCCACACCAGCACCCUGGUGAAUGUCCCGAUCCGAGCACACCGCCUCCGCCGCCCGGGCCUUGCCGUGGACUACGUCACCGGCACCCUCAAUCGCGGCAGCUACUUCUGGUCGCUCGGCGUGCGGGCAUUCUACUUCUCCUGCCCGGUCUUCCUCUGGCUCUUCGGGCCCAUCCCCAUGUUCGCCGCCUGCGUCGUCAUGGUCUGCGUGCUCUAUUUCCUCGACGUGUGCGAGGACUGGGAGGAGGAACAGGGCGUGAGUGGUGGUGAUGAGACGUCGGAACGAGGGAAGGAUGCAGGAGGCACGCAAGUUUAG